rnacentral:ncRNA from 1 species
AUGUGUAAGGUGUCGGACAUACGUGUCCGGUGAAAAGGGAAGCAGGUGUGAAUCCUGCACGAACUCGUCACCGUAUUUUGCAAGCAGAGGAACGAUCCACUGGGAAACCGGGAAGGAGACCGAUGCGUUGAAUCGAUUUUUUGAAAGAAUCAUUCCUGAAGCAAUCAGCCGGGAGACCUGCCUUUCGC